GUCAUGUCGACGUUCUACUUGAGCACUGUCAGCUGGACAAAAUAGAAACAAUAAUUUCACAUACAUAUGUUUAAAUUUGUGUUAAUUCUGUUUUUUUAGUUAACACUUAUGUAAAGUCAUAAAUAAUGUUCUAUUGUAGUUAAUGAUGAAACGGAAAAGUAUCAUCUGUUUGAGCACCAGCCGCACCAGACACGCAGGCAGACGAAAUACCAGGCAAACAAAAUUCUAAGGCAGCUGAUAAAAGUUGAUUAAAGCUGGCAUUAUUGUUGUUGUUGUUCCUCAUCGACUGCGGUUGGAGGAAUCGCACGCGAAAGCAAGGCAAGUCAACAAGUGAACAGAAUGAAAAGCAGGUACCCGAACUACUUGAGUAAACGAAGAAAGAGAACGCGUAAAUGCAGUUAUCAAAAUAUAUUUGGCAUGUUGUGUGUGCAGAGCAGCCAUAAUUAAUGUGCCGUUCCAUGAAGUUGGGAAUUAGCGUACAGUGGCGUCCCUUGUCAUAGACAUACCGACUUUUGUUUGAGCACUGUCACGAACUGAAAUAGAAGCAAAAAUUUAAUAAUUGUUUCAAUUCAUAGUCACAGCCAUACAAUAUUAUACAAAUUUUCUAGUUGGAUUUUGUUAAAUAAACUUUUAAGUGAAGUCUCUUGUUAUGUUUUUAA